GCAUUGAUUCAGUGAAUCUCAAUGAGGAGUUGCUGAUUGGACAGGGCUGUGUUUUGCAUAUGCUGGCUCUGCCCUGAUCUGCCUUCUUGAUAAUCUCAGCCAAUCCAAUGUUUUCAUAUGGGAAAGCAUUGUGAUCACUGCUCCUGAUUUUGUCAGUCAAAUAGGCAGAUUAGGGGCAGGGGCAGUACCAGCAGACUGCAAUAAAGGUAAUAUGUUACUAUAUUUAG